rnacentral:lncRNA from 1 species
CAGAGAGGAACGUGUCGGAGUCUCACAGCGAUCUCUCCAUCUCCCCCAGGACGGGCAUGCUGCACUCGAACCCGGGGGACUAUGCAUGGGGUCAGGGCGGGCUGGACGCUGUCAUCACGCAGGUGAGUGACAUCACCGGACCCCUUUAUGACAUCAUCUGAGCUGCUGCUGGGUCAGUUUGAGAACACUGGUCCCCCGCCCGCUGAGAAGGAGAAAAUCUCGUCUCUGCCCACAGUGCAUGUCUCUCAGGAACAAGUCGGUAAGAAAAGCUGCCCGUUAUUAGUAUCAGUAACUUCACCACCUCUCCUGCUUCCUCUUAGACUGCAGACAUGGUGAGAAGGGCUGUG